AUGUCAACCUCACAUCUUGGACACAGGCACGGUGAAAAGGGUCUUCACUCUUGUGCGAAAUUGGCCAUUGUUAUAUCUGUUAUGCGUCAACUUUCUAUUUCUUGUUGCGCUUUCGUUUCUCAGAUCGAUGAAAUCGAUAGUGCUUUCAGUUUUUCUGGUCUGUUGGCUUUGACUGAUGCAGUUUUUCUGUUUGUUGGUUUUGGUUUGAUGCAGUUCUUCUGUUUGUUGGUCUUGACUGAUGCAGUUUUCUGUUUGUUGGUUUUGACUGAUGCAGUUUGUUUUUGGUCUGUUGAAGGGAGACUGCGGUUAUGGUGUUUGCAGGGAUUUGAGAGUUGUGUAUUAAGCAGAGGUUUAGCAAGCUCUUUGAGGUGA